rnacentral:rRNA from 1 species
UACGAGUGCCCCGAGCGUUAUCCGGAAUUAUUGGGCGUAAAGGGUGUGUAGGCGGUUUUGUUAGUCUUAUGUUAAAGCUCUCGGCUCAACCGAGAAAGUGCAUGGGAAACGGCAAAACUAGAGGAUGCGAGAGGUGAACAGAACUCAUAGUGUAGGGGUGAAAUCCGUUGAUAUUAUGGGGAAUACCAAAUGCGAAGGCAGUUCACUGGCGCACUCCUGACGCUGAAACACGAAAGCGUGGGUAGCGAAUGGG